rnacentral:rRNA from 1 species
GUGGGGAAUCUUAGACAAUGGGGGCAACCCUGAUCUAGCCAUGCCGCGUGAGUGAUGAAGGCCUUAGGGUCGUAAAGCUCUUUCGCUGGGGAAGAUAAUGACGGUACCCAGUAAAGAAACCCCGGCUAACUCCGUGCCAGCAGCCGCGGUAAUACGGAGGGGGUUAGCGUUGUUCGGAAUUACUGGGCGUAAAGCGCGCGUAGGCGGAUUGGAAAGUUGGGGGUGAAAUCCCGGGGCUCAACCCUGGAAUGGCCUUCAAAACUCCCAGUCUUGAGGUCGAGAGAGGUAAGUGGAAUUCCGAGUGUAGAGGUGAAAUUCGUAGAUAUUCGGAGGAACACCAGUGGCGAAGGCGGCUCACUGGCUCGAUACUGACGCUGAGGUGCGAAAGCGUGGGGAGCAAACAGGAUUAGAAACCCCUGUAGUCC